CCUACGGGUGGCAGCAGUGGGGAAUAUUGGACAAUGGGCGAAAGCCUGAUCCAGCCAUGCCGCGUGUGUGAAGAAGGCCUUCGGGUUGUAAAGCACUUUCAGUGGGGAAGAAAGCCUUGGGGCUAAUACCCUCGAGGAAGGACAUCACCCACAGAAGAAGCACCGGCUAACUCCGGUGCCAGCAGCCGCGGUAAUACGGAGGGUGCGAGCGUUAAUCGGAAUUACUGGGCGUAAAGCGCGCGUAGGCGGUCUGAUAAGCCGGUUGUGAAAGCCCCGGGCUCAACCUGGGAACGGCAUCCGGAACUGUCAGGCUAGAGUGCAGGAGAGGAAGGUAGAAUUCCCGGUGUAGCGGUGAAAUGCGUAGAGAUCGGGAGGAAUACCAGUGGCGAAGGCGGCCUCCUGGACUGACACUGACGCUGAGGUGCGAAAGCGUGGGUAGCAAACAGGAUUAGAUACCCCAGUAGUC
rnacentral:rRNA from 1 species